GGGCUCUGCUCCAGAUCAAGUGGUUUACCAGAAUGAAACUACAGUGCACUACUCUCAUCUGCAUGGUGAUGCUUGUCUCUCUGAAUCAAUCAGAGGCUCAGAAAACACUGAAAAUGUUAGAUGCAGAUGAAUCCAGCUGUCACAUACUCGUUGAUUCAGCUUAAACACAGUAGUAAUAAAGGGCAGCAUAAUGAAUCAGAGGAGAGCUCCCUUUACUCGAAUGUGAAGACAGGAUCAGCUGCAGGUACAGUCACUUGCAACAGUUUGUCCAAUAGUUUGUUUUGAAAUAUGCAAAAUAUUAUUGAAAGUGACUCUGUAGUUCAAAUCACUCUAAUUUUACUUCCUGU